UACGUAGGGUGCAAGCGUUGUCCGGAAUUAUUGGGCGUAAAGAGCUCGUAGGCGGUCUGUCGCGUCUGCUGUGAAAACUCAGGGCUUAACCCUGAGCUUGCAGUGGGUACGGGCAGACUAGAGUGCGGUAGGGGAGUGUGGAAUUCCUGGUGUAGCGGUGAAAUGCGCAGAUAUCAGGAGGAACACCGGCGGCGAAGGCGGCACUCUGGGCCGGUACUGACGCUGAGGAGCGAAAGCGUGGGUAGCAAACAGG
rnacentral:rRNA from 1 species